GUCGAGUUGUGGAAUUCGUCGAGGACGGACGCGUCGCUCCUCCGGGAUACGCCCCUCGCUUGACUCUGUAGAGACGAUAGGACAGGUGCAAGUAAAACCAAUAAAGCAAGGAGAGCAAAAACAGCAGAGAUAUCGUCUGGGCGAGAAACUUUGAUUUUAACGAACUGUCUUCUUGUAGUCUACUAUCAGUGCGAGCUUCAGUCAGCCAUAGACCUUGCAUACAGUUUAUUACUACCAAUAAAUCGUAACUUUUUGUUGGUGAGAGAAAAGAAAAGCACGGCGAUGUGUUUGCUUCCAUCGUUCACUUUCAUCUUCGCUUUCUUCAGCGGCCUCGUUGCUUCUAAGAGCACCGAAGACUCGAUGAUCAACGUGUGGGUGGUGUCUGGGGGGAGGGCCAGCCUGCCUUGUCUGCCGAAACCGAAAAUGAAAGACGACCAGCCAGUGCUGGUCCUUUGGUAUCGCCGAUUCAGCAGUUCUCUACCC